UGAGGAGUAUUACGCAAUGGGGGCAACCCUGACGCAGCAAUACCGCGUGAGUGAAGAAGGUUUUCGGAUCGUAAAGCUCUGUUAUUGGGGAAGAAAAAAGACGUUACCCAAGAAGAACGUCCCUGCUAACUACGUGCCAGCAGCCGCGGUAAUACGUAGCGGACAAGCGUUGUCCGGAUUUACUGGGCGUAAAGGGCACGCAGGCGGUUUUUUAAGUCAGAUGUGAAAGGUACCGGCUCCACCGGUGACAUUCAUUUGAAACUGAAAGACUUGAGUAUUGGAGAGGGAAGUGGAAGGACGAGUGUAGCGGUGAAAUGAGUAGAUAUUAGGAGGAACACCGGUGGAGAAGGCGGCUUGCUGGACAAAUACUGACGCUGAGGUGCGAAAGCGUGGGGAGCAAACA
rnacentral:rRNA from 1 species